UACAGAGGGGGCAAGCGUUGUUCGGAAUUACUGGGCGUAAAGGGCGCGUAGGCGGCCUGUUAAGUCGAACGUGAAAUCCCCGGGCUCAACCCGGGAACUGCGUCGGAUACUGGCGGGCUUGAAUCCGGGAGAGGGAUGCGGAAUUCCAGGUGUAGCGGUGAAAUGCGUAGAUAUCUGGAGGAACACCGGUGGCGAAGGCGGCAUCCUGGACCGGCAUUGACGCUGAAUAGCGAAAGCCAGGGGAGCAAACGGG
rnacentral:rRNA from 1 species